rnacentral:rRNA from 2 species
GACGUUGAUAGGUCGGGUGUGUAAGUGUAGCGAUACAUUGAGCUAACCGAUACUAAUGAACCGUGAGGCUUAACCUUACAACGCCGAAG